CCGCUGGGAGCAAUCAGAGCGUCACAUCUGAGCUCCAAUGCAAUAAGAGUAAGCCCUCCCUUCCUCCUUUCUUCUUUUUGUGCCUCCUUUUUUCUCUUCCCUUUCUUUCCUUUGGUUUUCAGACAUACUGUAGGCCUCAGCGGUGUGGAGCUUCAGAAAACCACAGGGCUCCAGCAGACCUUUUGAAUCUCUCCACCCCCAACUAUGUCUGGGCAAAAGAUGGCCAUACUUGGAACCUUCUCCGCUUGGCUUCCUCCCUCCCACUUAAAGGCCCAGAUGUGUGCGUUGGCGAGGACUGGAGCAAAGGAUGCACUUCAGGCUGAAAGACCCAACACAAGGCAUUGGACCAACAGCUGGGUGUGGUGCAGCCAAUACUGAGCCAAGUUGAGACCAACUAAUGGAGGGAAGAGCUUUGAGCUUGGAAAGGUGUUUUGAGUGUUUAUUUGAGAAAAUGAGAUGGCCCGCUUGAUUCAGUAGUCCUGAAGUUUCCAUUUGAGGUCAUCUGGUUGUUGCAUUCCUGCCGUGCCCCACUCCUUGAUUCAUACGGACAAUGUAAUCCAUCAGUCUGUUCACACGAUAUCGUACAGCUGAAUGA